rnacentral:rRNA from 1 species
UAGUUGCCAUCAUUUGGUUGGGCACUCUAGUGAGACUGCCGGUGACAAACCGGAGGAAGGUGGGGAUGACGUCAAGUCCUCAUGGCCCUUAUGGGUAGGGCUUCACACGUCAUACAAUGGUCGGUACAGAGGGUUGCCAAGCCGCGAGGUGGAGCCAAUCCCUUAAAGCCGAUCGUAGUCCGGAUCGUAGUCUGCAACUCGACUACGUGAAGUCGGAAUCGCUAGUAAUCGCAGAUCAGCAUGCUGCGGUGAAUACGUUCCCGGGUCUU